GUGAGGAAUAUUGGUCAAUGGGCGAGAGCCUGAACCAGCCAAGUCGCGUGAAGGAAGAAGGAUCUAUGGUUCGUAAACUUCUUUUGCAGGGGAAUAAAGUGCAGGACGUGUUCUGUUUUGUAUGUACCCUGAGAAUAAGGAUCGGCUAACUCCGUGCCAGCAGCCGCGGUAAUACGGAGGAUCCGAGCGUUAUCCGGAUUUAUUGGGUUUAAAGGGUGCGUAGGUGGUUUGAUAAGUCAGCGGUGAAAGUUUGCAGCUUAACUGUAAAAAUGCCGUUGAAACUGUCGGACUUGAGUGUAAAUGAGGUAGGCGGAAUGCGUGGUGUAGCGGUGAAAUGCAUAGAUAUCACGCAGAACUCCGAUUGCGAAGGCAGCUUACUAAGCUACAACUGACACUGAAGCACGAAAGCGUGGGGAUCAAACAGGAUUAGAUACCCUAGUAGUCC
rnacentral:rRNA from 1 species